UUUGUAUCUAGGGCAUCACCUUUACCUUUGUAUGCAGUUGAUUAUGGUGCUGCUACACCAGUCAUUGAGCAUGACUCCUUCGUAAACUACCUGAUUUACAAUGCGGGUGAUUAGACUAUAACCGAUACCACCAGCUAUUUUAAGCAUUUCAGUGGUGAUUCCUGAUGGGCCAGGGGCUUUUC